GUGGAUUAGAUACCCUGGUAGUCCACGCCGUAAACGAUGAGUGCUAGAUGCUAUGGGUAUUGACCCCCGCGGUGUCGCAGCCAACGCGUUAAGCACUCCGCCUGGGGAGUACGGCCGCAAGGCUAAAACUCAAAGGAAUUGACGGGGGCCCGCACAAGCGGUGGAGCAUGUGGUUCAAUUCGACGCAACGCGCAGAACCUUACCUGGGUUAAAUCCACCAGAACCUUGCAGAGAUGUAGGGGUGCCCUUCGGGGAACUGGUGAGAAGGUGCUGCAUGGCUGUCGCCAACU
rnacentral:rRNA from 1 species